rnacentral:misc_RNA from 1 species
AAGUCGUAACAAGGUUUCCGUAGGUGAACCUGCGGAAGGAUCAUUACAACACCCUUUUUUCUUUUAUUAAUUAUUAUUAAUUAAUAAAAUAAACCCACUUUGUUGAACCUUUAUUUUUAAUUGUUAUGAAUUAUUUUUGUUAUGAAUGGGAUUUUCCUUUUUUUUUCUACAAAAAAAGAGAAGAUUUCCAUUUUCAUAUCCAAUCUUAUCUUAUUAUCUUAUAUUAUCUCUUUUUUUUCUUUUUUUCUUUUUUGGAUCUUCAACUUUUGUUUUGAAGUAAACAAAAAAUAAAAAGAAAUGAUGGAUAAUUCUGUUAAAAAACAAAACAAAAUUUUAAUUAUAAAUCCAAUUUAUUUUGGAAUUAUAAUAAUAAAUAAUAUAAAUAUGAGAGUACAACUCUUAACAAUGGAUAUCUAGGCUCUC